ACACGUAAACAACCUGCCUUCAGGAUGGGGACAACAGACGGAAACGACUGCUAAUACCGAAUAAGUUCCAAGAGCCGCAUGGCCCAUGGAAGAAAAGGUGGCCUCUACCUGUAAGCUAUCGCCUGAAGAGGGGUUUGCGUCUGAUUAGCUGGUUGGAGGGGUAACGGCCCACCAAGGCGACGAUCAGUAGCCGGUCUGAGAGGAUGAACGGCCACAUUGGGACUGAGACACGGCCCAGACUCCUACGGGAGGCAGCAUG
rnacentral:rRNA from 1 species